UUUUUGCUAUCUGCGAUUUGGAUGAUUCGAACCUGCAGCAGGUUCGAGCCGAACGUAGUGAGGCACCGGAGCCGUUUACGGCGACGGCCCGAAGGGCGAGCGAAGCGAGUCAUCCUGCACGACCCACCA
rnacentral:sRNA from 1 species